CGGCAGGCCUAACACAUGCAAGUCGAGCGGUAGCACAGAGAGCUUGCUCUCGGGUGACGAGCGGCGGACGGGUGAGUAAUGUCUGGGAAACUGCCUGAUGGAGGGGGAUAACUACUGGAAACGGUAGCUAAUACCGCAUAACGUCGCAAGACCAAAGUGGGGGACCUUCGGGCCUCAUGCCAUCAGAUGUGCCCAGAUGGGAUUAGCUAGUAGGUGGGGUAACGGCUCACCUAGGCGACGAUCCCUAGCUGGUCUGAGAGGAUGACCAGCCACACUGGAACUGAGACACGGUCCAGACUCCUACGGGAGGCAGCAGUGGGGAAUAUUGCACAAUGGGCGCAAGCCUGAUGCAGCCAUGCCGCGUGUGUGAAGAAGGCCUUCGGGUUGUAAAGCACUUUCAGCGGGGAGGAAGGCGUUAAGGUUAAUAACCUUGGCGAUUGACGUUACCCGCAGAAGAAGCACCGGCUAACUCCGUGCCAACAGCCGCGGUAAUACGGAGGGUGCAAGCGUUAAUCGGAAUUACUGGGCGUAAAGCGCACGCAGGCGGUCUGUCAAGUCGGAUGUGAAAUCCCCGGGCUCAACCUGGGAACUGCAUUCGAAACUGGCAGGCUAGAGUCUUGUAGAGGGGGGUAGAAUUCCAGGUGUAGCGGUGAAAUGCGUAGAGAUCUGGAGGAAUACCGGUGGCGAAGGCGGCCCCCCUGGACAAAGACUGACGCUCAGGUGCGAAAGCGUGGGGAGCAAACAGGAUUAGAUACCCUGGUAGUCCACGCCGCAAACGAUGUCGAUUUGGAGGUUGUGCCCUUGAGGCGUGGCUUCCGGAGCUAACGCGUUAAAUCGACCGCCUGGGGAGUACGGCCGCAAGGUUAAAACUCAAAUGAAUUGACGGGGGCCCGCACAAGCGGUGGAGCAUGUGGUUUAAUUCGAUGCAACGCGAAGAACCUUACCUGGUCUUGACAUCCACAGAACUUUCCAGAGAUGGAUUGGUGCCUUCGGGAACUGUGAGACAGGUGCUGCAUGGCUGUCGUCAGCUCGUGUUGUGAAAUGUUGGGUUAAGUCCCGCAACGAGCGCAACCCUUAUCCUUUGUUGCCAGCGGUUCGGCCGGGAACUCAAAGGAGACUGCCAGUGAUAAACUGGAGGAAGGUGGGGAUGACGUCAAGUCAUCAUGGCCCUUACGACCAGGGCUACACACGUGCUACAAUGGCAUAUACAAAGAGAAGCGACCUCGCGAGAGCAAGCGGACCUCAUAAAGUAUGUCGUAGUCCGGAUUGGAGUCUGCAACUCGACUCCAUGAAGUCGGAAUCGCUAGUAAUCGUAGAUCAGAAUGCUACGGUGAAUACGUUCCCGGGCCUUGUACACACCGCCCGUCACACCAUGGGAGUGGGUUGCAAAAGAAGUAGGUAGCUUAACCUUCGGGAGGGCGCUUACCACUUUGUGAUUCAUGACUGGGGUGAAGA
rnacentral:rRNA from 1 species